rnacentral:rRNA from 1 species
GAUGAACGCUAGCGGCAGGCUUAACACAUGCAAGUCGAACGGUAACAGAUCGGAUUUAUUCGAUGCUGACGAGUGGCGCACGGGUGCGUAACACGUAUGCAACCUACCCUUUACAGGAGGACAGCCCCGAGAAAUCGGGAUUAAUACUCCAUGGCACUAUACGAUCGCAUGAUCUAAUAGUUAAAGAUUUAUCGGUAGAGGAUGGGCAUGCGGCCUAUUAGUUUGUUGGUGAGGUAACGGCUCACCAAGACUUCGAUAGGUAGGGGUUCUGAGAGGAUGAUCCCCCACACUGGUACUGAGACACGGACCAGACUCCUACGGGAGGCAGCAGUGAGGAAUAUUGGGCAAUGGAGGCAACUCUGACCCAGCCAUGCCGCGUGCAGGAAGACGGCCCUACGGGUUGUAAACUGCUUUUAUUUGGGAAGAAACCCACGCUCGUGAGCGUGGCUGACGGUACCAAACGAAUAAGCACCGGCUAACUCCG